rnacentral:rRNA from 1 species
GGGUUGUGAGGUUAAGCGACUAAGCGUACACGGUGGAUGCCCUGGCAGUCAGAGGCGAUGAAGGACGUGCUAAUCUGCGAAAAGCGUCGGUAAGGUGAUAUGAACCGUUAUAACCGGCGAUGUCCGAAUGGGGAAACCCAGUGCAAUUCGUUGCACUAUCGUUAACUGAAUACAUAGGUUAACGAGGCGAACCGGGGGAACUGAAACAUCUAAGUACCCCGAGGAAAAGAAAUCAACCGAGAUUCCCCCAGUAGCGGCGAGCGAACGGGGAGCAGCCCAGAGUCUGAAUCAGCUUGUGUGUUAGUGGAACGGUCUGGAAAGUCCGACGGUACAGGGUGAUAGUCCCGUACACCAAAAUGCACAGGUUGUGAACUCGAAGAGUAGGGCGGGACACGUGGUAUCCUGUCUGAAUAUGGGGGGACCAUCCUCCAAGGCUAAAUACUCCUGACUGACCGAUAGUGAACCAGUACCGUGAGGGAAAGGCGAAAAGAACCCCGGCGAGGGGAGUGAAAAAGAACCUGAAACCGUGUACGUACAAGCAGUGGGAGCACCUUCGGGUGUGACUGCGUACCUUUUGUAUAAUGGGUCAGCGACUUAUAUUCUGUAGCAAGGUUAACCGUAUAGGGGAGCCGCAGGGAAACCGAGUCUUAACUGGGCGUUAAGUUGCAGGGUAUAGACCCGAAACCCGGUGAUCUAGCCAUGGGCAGGUUGAAGGUUGGGUAACACUAACUGGAGGACCGAACCGACUAAUGUUGAAAAAUUAGCGGAUGACUUGUGGCUGGGGGUGAAAGGCCAAUCAAACCGGGAGAUAGCUGGUUCUCCCCGAAAGCUAUUUAGGUAGCGCCUCGUGAAUUCAUCUUCGGGGUAGAGCACUGUUUCGGCUAGGGGGUCAUCCCGACUUACCAACCCGAUGCAAACUACGAAUACCGAAGAAUGUUAUCACGGGAGACACACGGCGGGUGCUAACGUCCGUCGUGAAGAGGGAAACAACCCAGACCGCCAGCUAAGGUCCCAAAGUCAUGGUUAAGUGGGAAACGAUGUGGGAAGGCACAGACAGCCAGGAUGUUGGCUUAGAAGCAGCCAUCAUUUAAAGAAAGCGUAAUAGCUCACUGGUCGAGUCGGCCUGCGCGGAAGAUGUAACGGGGCUAAACCAUGCACCGAAGCUGCGGCAGCGACACUAUGUGUUGUUGGGUAGGGGAGCGUUCUGUAAGCCUGCGAAGGUGACCUGUGAGGGUUGCUGGAGGUAUCAGAAGUGCGAAUGCUGACAUAAGUAACGAUAAAGCGGGUGAAAAGCCCGCUCGCCGGAAGACCAAGGGUUCCUGUCCAACGUUAAUCGGGGCAGGGUGAGUCGACCCCUAAGGCGAGGCCGAAAGGCGUAGUCGAUGGGAAACAGGUUAAUAUUCCUGUACUUGGUGUUACUGCGAAGGGGGGACGGAGAAGGCUAUGUUAGCCGGGCGACGGUUGUCCCGGUUUAAGCAUGUAGGCUGGUUGUCCAGGCAAAUCCGGAUAAUCAAGGCUGAGGUGUGAUGACGAGGCACUACGGUGCUGAAGUAACAAAUGCCCUGCUUCCAGGAAAAGCCUCUAAGCAUCAGGUAACAUCAAAUCGUACCCCAAACCGACACAGGUGGUCAGGUAGAGAAUACCAAGGCGCUUGAGAGAACUCGGGUGAAGGAACUAGGCAAAAUGGUGCCGUAACUUCGGGAGAAGGCACGCUGGUGUGUAGGUGAAGUCCCUGCGGAUGGAGCUGAGACCAGUCGAAGAUACCAGCUGGCUGCAACUGUUUAUUAAAAACACAGCACUGUGCAAACACGAAAGUGGACGUAUACGGUGUGACGCCUGCCCGGUGCCGGAAGGUUAAUUGAUGGGGUUAUCCGUAAGGAGAAGCUCUUGAUCGAAGCCCCGGUAAACGGCGGCCGUAACUAUAACGGUCCUAAGGUAGCGAAAUUCCUUGUCGGGUAAGUUCCGACCUGCACGAAUGGCGUAAUGAUGGCCAGGCUGUCUCCACCCGAGACUCAGUGAAAUUGAACUCGCUGUGAAGAUGCAGUGUACCCGCGGCAAGACGGAAAGACCCCGUGAACCUUUACUAUAGCUUGACACUGAACAUUGAGCCUUGAUGUGUAGGAUAGGUGGGAGGCUUUGAAGCGUGGACGCCAGUCUGCGUGGAGCCAACCUUGAAAUACCACCCUUUAAUGUUUGAUGUUCUAACGUUGGCCCCUUACCGGGGUUGCGGACAGUGUCUGGUGGGUAGUUUGACUGGGGCGGUCUCCUCCCAAAGCGUAACGGAGGAGCACGAAGGUUAGCUAAUCCUGGUCGGACAUCAGGAGGUUAGUGCAAUGGCAUAAGCUAGCUUGACUGCGAGCGUGACGGCGCGAGCAGGUGCGAAAGCAGGUCAUAGUGAUCCGGUGGUUCUGAAUGGAAGGGCCAUCGCUCAACGGAUAAAAGGUACUCCGGGGAUAACAGGCUGAUACCGCCCAAGAGUUCAUAUCGACGGCGGUGUUUGGCACCUCGAUGUCGGCUCAUCACAUCCUGGGGCUGAAGUAGGUCCCAAGGGUAUGGCUGUUCGCCAUUUAAAGUGGUACGCGAGCUGGGUUUAGAACGUCGUGAGACAGUUCGGUCCCUAUCUGCCGUGGGCGCUGGAGAAUUGAGGGGGGCUGCUCCUAGUACGAGAGGACCGGAGUGGACGCAUCACUGGUGUUCGGGUUGUCAUGCCAAUGGCACUGCCCGGUAGCUAAAUGCGGAAGAGAUAAGUGCUGAAAGCAUCUAAGCACGAAACUUGCCCCGAGAUGAGUUCUCCCUGAGACUUUAAGUCUCCUGAAGGAACGUUAAAGACGAUGACGUUGAUAGGCCGGGUGUGUAAGCGCAGCGAUGCGUUGAGCUAACCGGUACUAAUGAACCGUGAGGCUUAACCUUACAACGCCGAAG